rnacentral:rRNA from 1 species
CCAGACUCCUACGGGAGGCAGUAGUGGGGGAUAUUGGACAAUGGGGGAAACCCUGAUCCAGCGACGCCGCGUGGGUGAAGAAGUAUUUCGGUAUGUAAAGCUCUGUCAGCAGGGAAGAAAGAAAUGACGGUACCUGACCAAGAAGCCCCGGCUAACUACGUGCCAGCAGCCGCGGUAAUACGUAGGGGGCAAGCGUUAUCCGGAAUUACUGGGUGUAAAGGGGGCGUAGACGGCCAGGCAAGCCUGGAGUGAAAGCCCGGGGCCCAACCCCGGGACUGCUCUGGGAACUGUCCGGCUGGAGUGCGGGAGGGGCAGGCGGAAUUCCUGGUGUAGCGGUGAAAUGCGUAGAUAUCAGGAGGAACACCGGCGGCGAAGGCGGCCUGCUGGACCGCGACUGACGUUGAGGCUCGAAAGCGUGGGGAGCGAACAGGAUUAGAUACCCUAGUA